rnacentral:lncRNA from 1 species
GAUCGUGCAGAGCUCGAGUUCGGUCGAAAUACACAAAAUGUACCGAUCAGUACUCGAUCAUUUCGACCUUUGCUCGACUAAAGUCCGAUUAUUUCAAGAUUAACUCGACCAAUGUCCGAUCUCUUCAAGAUCACUACGACUUCUAUAUUUAUUUUAUUUCAGACCAACUGGACCAAUACCCGAUCCCUUCGCGACCUCAUUCGAUCACUCUUCGAUCUUUACUCGCCCAUACAUGAGGACACAUGACUGCUACACGAUUCUCUAAGAGUGUGUGCAGAUCUGAUUAACUCUCAUAACUCUGCCUCCACAAAAAUAUAUUGGCAACAUCAUAUUUAACUGUACAAAAAUUCCUCUAUGUACGUAUGCAGUACGUCUUUACUUUUGCAAGUAGAGGCAAAAGACACCAAAGAAACAAUCCAACUCGAAGGUCGAAAACAGAUCGACUCGGCCAUAGCAAAAAAAAAAAGAAAACUGACAAGAAGACAAACAGCAGGCCACAUAAUAUAGAAAACUAAAAACUUAGCAACACAUACCCAACAAAAACCUGUGAUGAAGUCAGGUGUUCCGUAAGGAAAGAAUAUCCUGCAAUAUUGGC